AAAAUUUCACAUUUUUGUACAAAGAUACAUUGUGCGCUUAUCUGAGUUCUGGAGUAAGUAUUGUGUGAUUUCCUGUGAUUUUAAAAUAAUCAUGAUGCUAGUUAACUAUCCUUGAGUGCCAACUAGCCUGUUUUCAAUGCCUAAUUUCUUACCUAACAUUUCAUACCCAGUAACUAUGAUAUCAUCCCCAUUUUAUAAAUGAGGAAAUAGGUAAGGAGAACUUGGAUACAGUUAGGAGAUGGAGUAGUUUGAAUCUACUUUUGAUCUGUGCUUUGAAUCACUGAGUUGUAACUUGUUAGUUGAACAAAUAGUAGACAAGAUCAUAUCAUAAUUUUUUGUAUAGCUUAUGAAAUCAUACCUACUAGCAUAUUUUCCAUGGCUUUUUACAAAUCUAACAUUACAAAAAUGUUUUAUUUUUGAAUGAUCUUUCCUUAUUUUCAUCAUGUUUCUCUUUUCUUGAAAAAUCUAGUUUUAUUUUCUAUGUUGUAGUGUUGUAAGAAAGUUCACUCUUGAGAAACAGAGAAGCUACCACUGAAGAGGCCAAAUUAUGAGUCUGUAUUGGAGAGUGGGAGGACUGCUGGUGCACUGUGGUCUCAAAGACCAGCAGCCAGCGCAAAGCUUAUAUAAGCCAAAACCACAUAAGAUGUUUGGAACUAAACCUAACAAGAGUGUUAUACACAAGCAUAGCAAACUAGAUGAGGACACUUAAACCUAAAAAUAAAAGCAAACCAUCUCAGGAGGAAACCAAGGGCCAAUUAUCUAGGGACCCAGUCUCCUUACUUCAUUAGACAGAUCCAUUCAGGGUGAUCAGUUUUUCCUGAGUAUGUAGUAAUUUGAUCAAAAUUUUUCACAUUUUUCUCUUUCAUCAACUCUGAAAAUCCUGACCUAAUAACAUCCAAAUAAAGCUUGGAAAAUUUGGGCUGGGAAUAUGGCCUAGUGGCAGGAGUGCUUGCCUC